rnacentral:rRNA from 1 species
AGAGAUCAUACUCUGUAUAGGCUCUGACACGAUGCUGGAAUGCUCGGUAACUCAAAGUUCCGGCGCCUUAGGAUGGAUCUGCGGCCGAUUAGGUAGUUGUUGGGGUAACGGCCCAACAAGCCCGUAAUCGGUACGGGUUGUGGGAGCAAGAGCCCGGAGUUGGAUUCUGAGACACGAAUCCAGGCCCUACGGGGCGCAGCAGGCGCGAAAACUUUACAAUGCGGGCAACCGUGAUAAGGGAACCUCGAGUGCCUGUACAUGCAGGCUGUCUGGGUGUCUAAAACACACCCAAAGAAAGGGCCGGGCAAGACCGGUGCCAGCCGCCGCGGUAAUACCGGCGGCUCGAGUGGUGGCCACUUUUAUUGGGCUUAAAGCGUUCGUAGCUGGGUUGUUAAGUCUCUUGGGAAAUCCGGCGGCUUAACCGUCGGGCGUCUAAGAGAUACUGGCAAUCUUGGAACCGGGAGAGGUGAGGGGUACUUCGGGGGUAGGAGUGAAAUCCUGUAAUCCUCGAGGGACCACCUGUGGCGAAGGCGCCUCACCAGAACGGCUUCGACAGUGAGGGACGAAAGCUGGGGGAGCAAACCGGAUUAGAUACCCGGGUAGUCCCAGCCGUAAACGAUGUGCGUUAGGUGUAUCGACGACCACGAGUCGUCGAGGUGCCGAAGGGAAACCGUGAAACGUACCGCCUGGGAAGUACGGUCGCAAGGCUGAAACUUAAAGGAAUUGGCGGGGGAGCACCACAACAGGUGGAGCCUGCGGUUUAAUUGGACUCAACGCCGGGAAGCUCACCGGAUAGGACAGCGGAAUGAUUGCCGGGGCUGAAGACUCUGCAUGACUAGCUGAAAAGGAGGUGCAUGGGCCGUCGUCAGUUUCGUACUGGGAAAGCAUCCUGUUUAGGUCAGGCAAACGAGCGAAGACCCCACGCCCAACAGUUUGCCAAGCACGAAUCCCCGGGAUCCGGUGGGGGAACACUGGUUGGGAACCGCCCUCCUGCUUAAAGAGGGAAGAAAGGGAAUGGGCCAACCGGUAAGGUCCAGCAUUGCCCCCGAAAUUUAUCCCGGGCCUACCACGCCGG